UGGGGAAUAUUGGACAAUGGGGGCAACCCUGAUCCAGCCAUGCCGCGUGAGUGAUGAAGGCCUUCGGGUUGUAAAGCUCUUUUGGCGGGGACGAUGAUGACGGUACCCGCAGAAUAAGCCCCGGCUAACUUCGUGCCAGCAGCCGCGGUAAGACGAAGGGGGCAAGCGUUGUUCGGAAUUACUGGGCGUAAAGGGCGCGUAGGCGGUUUGCUUAGUCAGGCGUGAAAGCCCUGGGCUUAACCUGGGAUGUGCGCUUGAUACUGGCAGGCUUGAGUGUGGGAGAGGUUGGUGGAAUUCCCAGUGGAGAGGUGAAAUUCGUAGAUAUUGGGAAGAACACCGGUGGCGAAGGCGGCCAACUGAACCACAACUGACGCUGAGGCGCGAAAGCGUGGGGA
rnacentral:rRNA from 1 species